UUCGACACACUAUCAUUAACUGAAUCCAUAGGUUAAUGAGGCGAACCGGGGGAACUGAAACAUCUAAGUACCCCGAGGAAAAGAAAUCAACCGAGAUUCCCCCAGUAGCGGCGAGCGAACGGGGAGCAGCCCAGAGCCUGAAUCAGUGUGUGUGUUAGUGGAAGCGUCUGGAAAGGCGCGCGAUACAGGGUGACAGCCCCGUACACAAAAAUGCACAUACUGUGAGCUCGAUGAGUAGGGCGGGACACGUGGUAUCCUGUCUGAAUAUGGGGGGACCAUCCUCCAAGGCUAAAUACUCCUGACUGACCGAUAGUGAACCAGUACCGUGAGGGAAAGGCGAAAAGAACCCCGGCGAGGGGAGUGAAAAAGAACCUGAAACCGUGUACGUACAAGCAGUGGGAGCACGCUUAGGCGUGUGACUGCGUACCUUUUGUAUAAUGGGUCAGCGACUUAUAUUCUGUAGCAAGGUUAACCGAAUAGGGGAGCCGAAGGGAAACCGAGUCUUAACUGGGCGUUAAGUUGCAGGGUAUAGACCCGAAACCCGGUGAUCUAGCCAUGGGCAGGUUGAAGGUUGGGUAACACUAACUGGAGGACCGAACCGACUAAUGUUGAAAAAUUAGCGGAUGACUUGUGGCUGGGGGUGAAAGGCCAAUCAAACCGGGAGAUAGCUGGUUCUCCCCGAAAGCUAUUUAGGUAGCGCCUCGUGAAUUCAUCUCCGGGGGUAGAGCACUGUUUCGGCAAGGGGGUCAUCCCGACUUACCAACCCGAUGCAAACUGCGAAUACCGGAGAAUGUUAUCACGGGAGACACACGGCGGGUGCUAACGUCCGUCGUGAAGAGGGAAACAACCCAGACCGCCAGCUAAGGUCCCAAAGUCAUGGUUAAGUGGGAAACGAUGUGGGAAGGCCCAGACAGCCAGGAUGUUGGCUUAGAAGCAGCCAUCAUUUAAAGAAAGCGUAAUAGCUCACUGGUCGAGUCGGCCUGCGCGGAAGAUGUAACGGGGCUAAACCAUGCACCGAAGCUGCGGCAGCGACACUAUGUGUUGUUGGGUAGGGGAGCGUUCUGUAAGCCUGUGAAGGUGUACUGUGAGG
rnacentral:rRNA from 1 species